AACUUUUCCAGAUGAAGUCAGUGCACGGUCCUGGGCCACCUUCUGACCUCCAUCUCCAGCAGGACAGCAGUGCUGUGACCCGGGCUGGGGGGUUCUCAAAUGCUCUGAGGAACAGCAGCUCCCUGCUCAGUCCAUACCUUGGGAAUACAGUCACUUGGAAGUGCUGAGAAAUCCCAUGGGUGGGAACAGGAGAUGCACCAUCCUCAGGAAGGAAAAAAGAGCCCAAAGGGAUGAGAGUAACGAUCCAGCAGGGCCUGCCAGUCAACACCAUUCCUGGACUGAUCCAGGAACUCUGGCAGGAACAGCACCAGCACCUCUGUGAGUCCCCAGCCUGCAGCACAGCCAGCAUAGCAGGGAACAGGCACUUCCUCCAGGGCACUUCCAAAGGGGAUGAGGGAAGAGCUGAGCAUCCUUCCGUGGCCCAAACUUCCUGAACAGAUUCAGUUUUUCCAGGGCUCUCCAGGAGGGGCCUCCCGAGCCGUUUGCUCCCCACCAGGGCAGAGGGAAGGUGGCACCGUGUCCCCCUGGAGCAGGGG
rnacentral:lncRNA from 1 species